CGCCUCCCUCCGCCGCCACUCAGACUCCGUACGGGACGGCGAGCAGUGGGAAGUAGUUGGACAAGUGGGCGCGAACGCCUGAUCCAGCAAUGCCGCGUGUGUGAAGAAGGCUCGGUUGUAAGCACUUUAUCGGUAGCGAAAUACCAUUGGCUAAUAACCGAUGGGCUGACGGUACCCGAGGAACUAAGCACCGGCUAACUUCGUGCCAGCAGCCGCGGUAAUAC
rnacentral:rRNA from 1 species